AGAGUUUGAUCCGGCUCAGAACGAACGCUGGCGGCAGGCUUAACACAUGCAAGUCGAACGCCCUGUUUACAGGGAGUGGCAGACGGGUGAGUAACGCGUGGGAAUUUACCGAGUAGUGUGGAAUAACUCAGAGAAAUUUGAGCUAAUACCGCAUACGCCCUUCGGGGGAAAGAUUUAUCGCUAUUCGAUAGGCCCGCGUUAGAUUAGCUAGUUGGUGGGGUAAUGGCCUACCAAGGCGACGAUCUAUAGCUGGUCUGAGAGGAUGAUCAGCCACACUGGGACUGAGACACGGCCCAGACUCCUACGGGAGGCAGCAGUGAGGAAUAUUGGACAAUGGGCGCAAGCCUGAUCCAGCCAUGCCGCGUGAGUGAUGACGGCCUUAGGGUUGUAAAGCUCUUUCGCUAGGGAAGAUAAUGACGGUACCUAGUAAAGAAGCCCCGGCUAACUUCGUGCCAGCAGCCGCGGUAAUACGAAGGGGGCUAGCGUUGUUCGGAAUCACUGGGCGUAAAGCGCACGUAGGCGGAUCUUUAAGUCAGGGGUGAAAUCCCAGAGCUCAACUCUGGAACUGCCUUUGAUACUGGGGAUCUUGAGUCCGGAAGAGUG
rnacentral:rRNA from 1 species